AGUGAACGCUGGCGGCGUGCUUAACACAUGCAAGUCGAACGAGAACGGGCUAUAGCUUGCUAUAGUUGUCAGCUAAGUGGCGCACGGGUGAGUAAUGUAUAGGUAAUAUGCCUCUUACUAAGGGAUAACAAAUGGAAACGUUUGCUAAUACCUUAUACUCCUUAUUAACAGAAGUUAAUAAGGGAAAGAUUUAUUGGUAAGAGAUUAGCCUGUAUUGUAUCAGUUAGUUGGUGGGGUAAUGGCUUACCAAGACUAUGACACAUAACUGGUUUGAGAGGAUGAUCAGUCACACUGGAACUGAGACACGGUCCAGACUCCUACGGGAGGCAGCAGUGGGGAAUAUUGCACAAUGGACGAAAGUCUGAUGCAGCAACGCCGCGUGGAGGAUGACACAUUUCGGUGCGUAAACUCCUUUUAUAUGAGAAGAUAAUGACGGUAUUAUAUGAAUAAGCACCGGCUAACUCCGUGCCAGCAGCCAGCCGUAAUAC
rnacentral:rRNA from 1 species